rnacentral:pre_miRNA from 1 species
GGCUCCUUGUUGGAGAAGCAGGGCACGUGCAAACCCCUUUGGCUUUGCUUUUGCUUUUCAAACCAAAAAAGCUAGUAAGUUGUUGCACGUGCUCCCCUUCUCCAACAUGGGUUC